CCUACGGGUGGCAGCAGUGGGGAAUCUUCCGCAAUGGGCGAAAGCCUGACGGAGCAACGCCGCGUGAGUGAAGACGGCCUUCGGGUUGUAAAGCUCUGUUAUAGGGGACGAACGGCCGGGUAGCGAAGAGGUAGCCGGCAUGACGGUACCGUAAGAGAAAGCCACGGCUAACUACGUGCCAGCAGCCGCGGUAAUACGUAGGUGGCAAGCGUUGUCCGGAAUGAUUGGGCGUAAAGGGCGCGCAGGCGGCUGUGUAAGUCUGUCUAGAAAGUGCGGGGCUAAACCCCGUGAGAGGAUGGAAACUGGACAGCUGAGAGUGUCGGAGAGGAAAGCGGAAUUCCUAGUGUAGCGGUGAAAUGCGUAGAUAUUAGGAGGAACACCGGUGGCGAAAGCGGCUUUCUGGACGACAACUGACGCUGAGGCGCGAAAGCCAGGGGAGCAAACGGGAUUAGAUACCCUUGUAGUC
rnacentral:rRNA from 1 species